rnacentral:misc_RNA from 1 species
GAUAGAUGUUAGUUUUCGAGGCCAUAUUGUUCCCGAGUACCGAAAAGCCAAUGGCGUUUGUAGGGAAAACGGUUCAAAAAUUCAAACCCAAUUGAAAAUCAGCCGGUGGAAACGGUCAUCCUCAUUUCGGUGGCAGCAGUGGUGCAACUUGUGGCGCUGGGAUCGAAUAGGGGGCGCUAUUAGAUGCAACGCGCAUGCGUUUUCAGGAGGGAAGGGUCGAGACGCGUAGAAAAUAGUCCUCAUUUGGUUGACCAGUGGAAGCCGACGAUCACAAGAGAACAAGGAAGAAGGGCAAGAGGGAAGGUUUAGCUUCGUCACGUUUUUUUACGUCCUUCGUGCCAAAUAAAUAUACGGUUUUAACGUUAAUCGAGCUCGGUGAUUAAGAAAUAUCUAAACGUUUAUUAUCCUUAAUUAUUCCGAUCUCGUCUAUUUACGAGGAUAGGAAGGAAAAUAAGAGCGAUAUCGAGGAGGCUUGUGGGAUAUCACUACGCCGCACGUUGAAGGGAAAAGCAAGAGCGUCCUAGAGAGUAAGAGAAAGACAAGGGGAAAGAGAAGAGGGGAACCUUGUCGGGGUAGUUGAUUCGGUAGUGACUACAUGUGGGUAUCCGCCGGUUACGAUCAGAAAACGUCUCGCGUUAGGACGAUAUCGUAAGGAGUCUCGUGUCGCUAUUGCAUUAUAUAUCUUACAAGAGCGUCGUAUAAAAAUUGCUGGCACCAUGCAGAUGGACCCAACGACUGUUCAAUUGAUACAGGUCCUCGAGAGGACGGUAUCAUCAGACAAAAAUGAAUUGGAAGCAGCAGAGAGUUUUUUGGAACAAGCGGCACAAUCCAAUUUCCAUGAAUUUGUGCAACGGCUCAGCGGUGUACUGGUUACCGGAACAGCCAGUCCGGUUGCUCGUAUGGCAGCUGGAUUACAAUUGAAAAAUCAGCUUACCUCCAAGGAUCAAUCAUUAAAGUAUCAAUACCAACAACGUUGGCUGGCUAUCCCUGCUGAUACGAGAGAAUUUAUUAAGAAAAAUAUCUUGGGUGCAUUAGGAACUGAAAAUAAUAGGCCCAGCUCUGCGGCUCAAUGCGUAGCUUAUGUCGCUGUUGCUGAAUUACCAGUCAAUCAAUGGAGCAAUCUAAUUCCUUUAUUAGUUAACAAUGUGGUUAAUCCAAAUAGCACAGAAAUGAUGAAAGAAGCUACUUUAGAAACUAUCGGUUACAUUUGUCAAGAAAUAGAAAGUGAAGUUUUGGUAUCGCAAUCUAAUCAAAUUCUCACAGCAAUUAUUCAUGGCAUGAAAGGUUCCAGUACAUCCAAUCAUGUACGACUUGCAGCUACAAGUGCGCUCUAUAAUUCUUUAGAAUUUACCAAAGGAAACUUUGAAAUAGAGUCUGAGAGGAACUUUAUUAUGGAAGUAGUGUGUGAAGCAACACAAUCUACAAAUACACAAGUAAAAGUAGCAGCUUUACAAUGCCUCGUCAAAAUUAUGUCAUUAUAUUAUCAGUAUAUGGAACUUUACAUGGCACCAGCAUUGUUUCCUAUUACUCUGGAAGCUAUGAAAUCAGAUAUUGACGAGGUUGCACUGCAGGGAAUUGAAUUUUGGUCCAAUGUGUCGGACGAAGAAGUUGAUUUAGCUUUGGAAGAAGGAGAUGCUUCUGAAGUUGGUCGACCACCAUUAAAAGUUUCAAGGCACUACGCGAAAGGUGCUUUACAAUAUUUAGUACCGGUACUCAUGAAAAAAUUAACGAAACAAGAAGAAUUCGAUGAUGAGGAUGAUUGGAAUCCUUCGAAAGCCGCCGGUGUUUGCUUAAUGUUACUUUCCACUUGUUGCGAAGAAGCUAUAGUUCCAUUUGUUCUUCCCUUCGUCAAAGAUAAUAUCAAGAGUCACGAUUGGAGAUAUCGAGAUGCAGCAGUAAUGGCAUUUGGUUCCAUUCUUGGUGGAGUAGAGCCUGUUACUUUGAAACCAUUAGUGGAACAAGCAAUGCCUACACUCAUCGAAUUGAUGUACGACAGUAGCGUCGUCGUAAGGGACACCACAGCGUGGACGUUCGGUCGUAUUUGCGAAAUCAUUCCAGAAGCCGCUAUUAACGAAACAUAUUUGAAACCUUUAUUGGAAUCUUUAGUAAACGGACUUAAGACAGAACCUCGUGUAGCUGCGAACGUAUGCUGGGCCUUUACUGGUCUUGCACAAGCUAGUUAUGAAUCUGCCUGCGAGGACGAGCAUCAACCAGAAACUUACUGUAUGUCUCAAUACUUUGAUUUCAUCAUUCAAAGAUUAUUAGAAACUACAGACCGACCAGAUGGAGCUCAAGCAAAUUUGAGAUCAGCAGCUUAUGAAGCUCUGAUGGAAAUGGUUAAAAACUCUCCUCGGGAUUGCUACGUUACUGUGCAAAAAACGACAAUGGUCAUUUUGGAUAGGUUGCAACAAGUAUUACAAAUGGAAAACCAUAUACAAAGUCAUACAGAUCGAGCACAGUACAACGAUCUUCAAUCAUUACUCUGUGCUACUUUACAAUCCGUAUUACGUAAAGUAACUCCUGAGGAUGCACCUCAAAUAUCCGACGUAAUAAUGACGGCUCUAUUAUCGAUGUUUAAUUCGAAUUCUUGCAAAGCUGGAGGCGUACAAGAGGACGCUCUUAUGGCCGUCUCUACGUUGGUCGAAGUAUUGGGAGAGCGUUUCUUAAAAUACAUGGAUGUAUUUAAACCAUACCUAUGUCUUGGCCUGAAAAAUCAUGCAGAGUAUCAAGUUUGUUGCGUUGCUGUAGGCCUUACUGGAGAUAUUUGUCGUGCACUUAAAAGUAAAAUAAUUCCAUAUUGCGAUGAGAUAAUGACCCUUCUAUUGGAGAAUCUAGGAAAUAACACGGUUCAUCGUUCUGUCAAGCCUCAAAUAUUUUCAGUCUUUGGUGACAUUGCUCUUAGUAUCGGUCCAGAAUUUAAGAAAUAUCUAGAUGUUGUUUUGCAAACAUUGGUACAGGCCUCGCAGGCGAACGUCGAUAGAUCCGAUUACGACAUGGUCGAUUAUCUUAAUGAAUUACGCGAGGGCGUAUUGGAAGCAUAUACAGGAAUAGUGCAAGGUUUCCGCGGAGAUUCUUCAAAUGCAUGUCCUGAAGCCGAAAUUGCAUUGGUCGAACCGCACGUGCCGUACAUCAUUCAAUUUAUCACCUUGAUAGCUCAAGAUGGCGAGCACUCCGAAGGCAACAUAUCGGCUGCGCUUGGUCUUAUCGGCGACCUCGUCUCCGUUUUUGGAGCAAAAUUAUUGCCGAUGGUGGAAACCGAGCCGCUUAACGAAUUAUUAAUGAAGGGUAGAAAAUCGCGUAACAGCAAAACGAAGACAUUGGCCACUUGGGCCAUUAAGGAGAUUCGAAAGGUUAAGCUUGCUGCUAACAACACUACGUCCAGUUGAUCAGCCCACGGUUGUACUGUUGUGCAAUUUGAUUUGACUAGAACGCUAUCAAACAAUACAAAGACAACAAGAUUGGAUGUUGCGGAUGCGAGUUGAUGGAUGUGCGUGAGUUCCGAAGCGAUGAGGAUGGGGUGAUGAGUCUGCACGUGUCCCUAUCUGGCAACGAAAACGGUGUAGGCGAAGCCAAUUGCUGCAUCGUCGUUUGCUGUCGCAAGGGUGGAAAGGAAAACGAGCAAGAUGCAACACCUGUCAUCUCAUUUGAAUCUUCCUCGGGAGGGGGAUAAUGCAUCUCACGUGACUCCGUUCUAAGGUAUCGUCGAGCUUUUGGUAACGCGAACGAGUUCCCCAAAGUUCGUGAAAAUGCAGGAAACCGAUGAUUACCAACGGCAGGAUGCCAACAACGUCGAUGAAAA